rnacentral:tRNA from 1 species
GGUUCCAUGGUGUAAUGGUUAGCACUCUGGACUCACGGAAUCAGCGAUCGAGUUCAAAUCUCGGUGGAACCA